rnacentral:rRNA from 1 species
GACGUAGGGGGCGAGCGUUGUCCGGAUUCAUUGGGCGUAAAGCGCGCGUAGGCGGCCCGUUUAGUCGGAUGUGAAAAUCCGGGGCUCAACCCCGGACCUGCAUCCGAUACUGGCGGGCUCGAGGCAGGCAGGGGAGAUCGGAAUUCCUGGUGUAGCGGUGAAAUGCGCAGAUAUCAGGAGGAACACCGGUGGCGAAGGCGGAUCUCUGGGCCUGUCCUGACGCUCAGGCGCGAAAGCUAGGGGAGCAAACAGG